GUGGGGAACCUGGUACUAAACCAUUCAUAGACAAGCUGCUUCUGAGUCUGGGUUU
rnacentral:rRNA from 1 species